AUUCUGGCUCAGGAUGAACGCUGGCGGCGUGCUUAACACAUGCAAGUCGAACGGGAUCCAUCAGGCUUUGCUUGGUGGUGAGAGUGGCGAACGGGUGAGUAAUGCGUGACCGACCUGCCCCAUACACCGGAAUAGCUCCUGGAAACGGGUGGUAAUGCCGGAUGCUCCGACUCCUCGCAUGGGGUGUCGGGAAAGAUUUCAUCGGUAUGGGAUGGGGUCGCGUCCUAUCAGGUAGUCGGCGGGGUAACGGCCCACCGAGCCUACGACGGGUAGCCGGCCUGAGAGGGCGACCGGCCACAUUGGGACUGAGAUACGGCCCAGACUCCUACGGGAGGCAGCAGUGGGGAAUAUUGCACAAUGGGCGCAAGCCUGAUGCAGCGACGCCGCGUGAGGGAUGGAGGCCUUCGGGUUGUAAACCUCUUUUAUCGGGGAGCAAGCGAGAGUGAGUUUACCCGUUGAAUAAGCACCGGCUAACUACGUGCCAGCAGCCGCGGUAAUACGUAGGGUGCAAGCGUUAUCCGGAAUUAUUGGGCGUAAAGGGCUCGUAGGCGGUUCGUCGCGUCCGGUGUGAAAGUCCAUCGCUUAACGGUGGAUCUGCGCCGGGUACGGGCGGGCUGGAGUGCGGUAGGGGAGACUGGAAUUCCCGGUGUAACGGUGGAAUGUGUAGAUAUCGGGAAGAACACCAAUGGCGAAGGCAGGUCUCUGGGCCGUUACUGACGCUGAGGAGCGAAAGCGUGGGGAGCGAACAGGAUUAGAUACCCUGGUAGUCCACGCCGUAAACGGUGGAUGCUGGAUGUGGGGCCCGUUCCACGGGUUCCGUGUCGGAGCUAACGCGUUAAGCAUCCCGCCUGGGGAGUACGGCCGCAAGGCUAAAACUCAAAGAAAUUGACGGGGGCCCGCACAAGCGGCGGAGCAUGCGGAUUAAUUCGAUGCAACGCGAAGAACCUUACCUGGGCUUGACAUGUUCCCGACAGCCGUAGAGAUAUGGCCUCCCUUCGGGGCGGGUUCACAGGUGGUGCAUGGUCGUCGUCAGCUCGUGUCGUGAGAUGUUGGGUUAAGUCCCGCAACGAGCGCAACCCUCGCCCUGUGUUGCCAGCACGUCAUGGUGGGAACUCACGGGGGACCGCCGGGGUCAACUCGGAGGAAGGUGGGGAUGACGUCAGAUCAUCAUGCCCCUUACGUCCAGGGCUUCACGCAUGCUACAAUGGCCGGUACAACGGGAUGCGACACGGCGACGUGGAGCGGAUCCCUGAAAACCGGUCUCAGUUCGGAUUGGAGUCUGCAACCCGACUCCAUGAAGGCGGAGUCGCUAGUAAUCGCGGAUCAGCAACGCCGCGGUGAAUGCGUUCCCGGGCCUUGUACACACCGCCCGUCAAGUCAUGAAAGUGGGUAGCACCCGAAGCCGGUGGCCUAACCCUUUGUGGAUGGAGCCGUCUAAGGUGAGACUCGUGAUUGGGACUAAGUCGUAACAAGGUAGCCGUACCGGAAGGUGCGGCUG
rnacentral:rRNA from 1 species